rnacentral:tRNA from 1 species
GGGAGUAGAGCUCAGUGGUAGAGUGUGUGCCUAGCAUGCGCGAGGUCCUGGGUUCAGCGCCCGGUGCCUCCA